rnacentral:rRNA from 1 species
UGGGGAAUAUUGCACAAUGGGCGCAAGCCUGAUGCAGCCAUGCCGCGUGUGUGAAGAAGGCCUUCGGGUUGUAAAGCACUUUCAGCGGGGAGGAAGGCGUUAAGGUUAAUAACCUUGGCGAUUGACGUUACCCGCAGAAGAAGCACCGGCUAACUCCGUGCCAGCAGCCGCGGUAAUACGGAGGGUGCAAGCGUUAAUCGGAAUUACUGGGCGUAAAGCGCACGCAGGCGGUCUGUCAAGUCGGAUGUGAAAUCCCCGGGCUCAACCUGGGAACUGCAUUCGAAACUGGCAGGCUAGAGGCUUGUAGAGGGGGGUAGAAUUCCAGGUGUAGCGGUGAAAUGCGUAGAGAUCUGGAGGAAUACCGGUGGCGAAGGCGGCCCCCUGGACAAAGACUGACGCUCAGGUGCGAAAGCGUGGGGGGCAAACAGG